rnacentral:rRNA from 1 species
UGCAGUCGAGCGGUAGCACAGGAAGCUUGGUCCUGGGUGAGAAGAGGCGGACAGGUGAGAAAUGUGUGGGAAACUGCCUGAUGGAGGGGGAUAACUACUGUGAACGGUAGCUAAUACCGCAUAACGUCUACAGACCAAAGUGGGGGACCUUCUGGCCUCUUGCGAUCUCAUGUGCCCCCAUGGGAUUAUCUAUUAGGUGGGGUAAUGGGUCUCCUAUGCGACAAUACCUAUCUGGGCUGAGAGGAUGACCCCCCACACUGUGACUGAGACACGGUCCCCACACCUACAGGAGGCGGCAGUGGGGAAUAUUGUGCAAUGGGCGCAAGCCUGAGACGCCCCUGUGCCGUGUGUGAAAAAAGCCUUCUCGUUGUGAAGCACUUUUUCCGAGGAGAAAAGGGAUUGUGUGAAUAUAACAUUGUAUUUUGGUUUCUCUCACAAAAAACACCGGCUAAAUCCCCGCCACCACCCGCGGGAAUACAGAGGGGGCGAGCGUUAAUCUCAAUUACUGGGCGUAAAGCGCACACGGGGGGGUUGUGAAGUCACAUAUGAAAUCCCCCCGCUUUACGUGGGAACUGUGUUUUAGACUGUGAAGCUAUAGACUUGUGGAGAGGGGUAGAAAUCUCCGUGUGUCGCGGAAAUGCGUAUAGAUCUGUAGAAAUAUAGGUGUGGAAAGCGGCCCCCUGUGCAAAGACAGAGACUCUCGUGCGAGAGCGUGUGGAGAGCACACGAUUAUAUACACUGUGAGACUACGCUGUGUACGAUAUCUACAUGUAGAUUGUGUGC